AUCUGACUAUUAUAUAUCUAUCUAUCUAUCUAUCUACCUGCGCGAUAUCCGAUUGAUUGCUCAUGAAUGCUUAAUCUGUCUAUCUGUCUAUCUACCUCCCUAUCUUUCAACUAAUUCGACUGCUCAAUAUUCAAUCAAUCUCUAUGGGAAUAAACAUCAUCAUCCAGCUGUCCACCUCCCUGGCAAUGCUGGCUUACUAGAUGAUUAUCUGGCUGCCUACUGAAAUGGGAAUUGGGGGUUGCGCGCUUUUGGCGGCGCGAGAACAGGAGCAGCUGGAUCACUCUGUAGAAAACCACAAGAUCAAUUCGUACAAUAUUUAACAAUCUAUCUCGAAUAACAUAAGAGAAGGCAUGUAGGAGAAUCAACUAAGAAGAAAAAGAAACUGUUAUACAACCAGAGACAUAAGAAAUCGCAUGCGUGAACAGCAUUCUCACAUACGAAUGCGUCGUCGUGUGUGUAGGUUGUUUUUCGUACAUAUUGCAAGGAAAGAUCUAUCUAGCGACAGCGAGGUAGAUUUAUGCACACUACCAGUCUAUUUAUCUGCUCGCAGCUCAAUUGCUUGAAUGAAUGAUAUCUUCUAAUGGUACUGUAUAUAUCAAUGGUGAUAUCUCAAUGAUAGUUAGUGAUGAUAUCUAUCAAUGAUGACUCACAGACUAGUCAAUGUAUUUACUUUUUUAAAAUACUAAUCAUUACACUGUAUAACAAUUAUAUGAAAUUAUAUGAUUAGUAGUGAACUAGUAUUGAGGGGAGAGAAAUGUCAGUGGG
rnacentral:sRNA from 1 species